rnacentral:rRNA from 1 species
GACGAACGCUGGCGGCGUGCUUAACACAUGCAAGUCGAACGGAAAGGCCUCUUUCGGGGGGUACUCGAGUGGCGAACGGGUGAGUAACACGUGAGUAACCUGCCCUUGACUUUGGGAUAACUUCAGGAAGCUGGGGCUAAUACCGGAUAGGAGCUCCUGCUGCAUGGUGGGGGGUGGAAAGUUUCGGCGGUUGGGGAUGGACUCGCGGCCUAUCAGCUUGUUGGUGGGGUAGUGGCUUACCAAGGCUUUGACGGGUAGCCGGCCUGAGAGGGUGACCGGCCACAUUGGGACUGAGAUACGGCCCAGACUCCUACGGGAGGCAGCAGUGGGGAAUAUUGCACAAUGGGUGGAAGCCUGAUGCAGCAACGCCGUGUGCGGGAUGACGGCCUUCGGGUUGUAAACCGCUUUCGCUCAUGACGAAGCUUUGUGUGACGGUAGUGGGUAAAGAAGCACCGGCUAACUACGUG